UCCAGUGGGACUUUUUCCUCCAAGACUACUACAACCACAAGCCAGUUACGCAGUGCUUGGGGUGCAGAAGAGUCAGCCAAGAAGCACAAAUGGCUUUGUAGCUGCACUGCAAAGGCAGCAGAUAGAGACAGCCGAUGUGUGGCCAGCACGCUUCCUGCACCCAGCGGUUCAAAAACACUGCUUGGAGCACCAGUGUUGGCACUCCAUAACGAGCAUCCCUGGGAUUCAGCUGCUAUCCAAGAGUGUAACCCCACAGACACUUGGAGAGCCGAGGGCAAGCCAACAGGAAGGUGGCUUCUGUGAGGCUUUGACUUCCCUGGAGUGCCAAUGGGAACAGCGCCAGGAAAUGCUGCCCAGGCCGUUGCUUUUGCUGGUAUGAAAGCAGCGCUCUCCUGGGUGAGGGGAAGUAUCAGCCUUCCUCUGCCAGGCCUGGGGGGCACGGAGGCUUCGCCAAAAAAAGACUUUUGGGCUGUUGUGAGCAGCGAUGUCCUAGAUGUGCCGCCUGCCCUGGGUUUGUUUGCGGUACCUGUUGCCCCUGGGAUGGAGUACUUGGGCCCAGGGGUGGUGAACUGGGCCAUGAUCGGGCCGCGGGGGCGGUGAGGUCUCCACGUCCCCACAAAGGCUCCGUCCAUGCUGGUGCCAGUGCUCCGCUUGGUGCACAGGACUUCUCCCCCGUCCCUCUGUGCCUCGGUACUGAGCCUUCAGAGGAAACAAAGCUAUCGCUGCUUCUUUCGCCAGCAGACCGACAGCUGAAUCUCCAGUCCCAAAACCCAGGUCUGAAACCCGCCUCUCCCUGCGGGAGGAGCUCCACUUCACCUUUCUUAGCCUUGGAAGGAAAAUUCGGUGAGGAUGAGCGCUGCUGCUGUGGCUGCUCACAGUCACAGGGCACAGAGAGCUGCUGCGGACAGGCAGAGCUCAGGACAGACUCUGACUCUGGGGGAGGGUGUCAGCUGCCAGCUUUUAUAGGGGACGGCAUCGCCAUGGAAACGCAUUAUGACAGCAUAGAGGCUUCAGAACCAUGGUGACCCCAUCUGGGCUGUUACCUCCUCGGCUUGGGCUGGACCCCAUCUGGUAAAGUGUCUCUGGCCUCAGCCCAGGGAGAUGCCAGCCCUGUGCCCCCCAGGCUGGGGCGUGGAGCUGGGCUGUCCUUGGGGACAAGUCUCCAACUAGGGACUUAAACUAAUCCUUUUAGGACUAGUUUAAAGGUGGGAGUAAAUGGUCUUUUCCUACCCUGGAUGAUUUUACGAUCCUGUGUGAUGUAAACUUUUGUUCUGAGAGAAUACUGGAGAGACAAGGCCUCCUCUGAAACAGCACAGGAAGAUCUUGCAGAGCAAUGAAUGAUUACAGCUUUGGAGCUAGGGCAGCACUGCUCACAUCCCUGUGUCUCAGUUCACUGAAGACACACCGUUUCUCUGGAAAACAGGGAAAUUGGGCUCUGAGGCAGCAGGUUCUCGAGUUUCAGGAGAACAAGAAUAAAAAAAAAAAUGGGUGAAAGAAAUUUAAAAUUUGGAUGGAUGCUUGGCUGUGGGGUGCAAGUGGGUAGGGAGGGCCCUGAGGGUGGUGGCAGUGAAAAUGUGUGUAGUGUCCAUGUACUUGGAGAGGGUCUGAGACGAUGUAGAAGAUUGUGGUACAUGUGACAUGGACUGAGGGUGGGAAGUUGUUUCUUCCCGAUCUCCUGAAAUUACCAUUUCCUCCUGGUGUUCCUAAUUUCCUCCUCAUCUCCGCUGCCCCCCUUGUUGUCCAUGAUGCCCCCAAGCCCAGCAGCCAGGCCGAGGGCAUCCUUGUCGUACCCCCUGUACCGCAUGUCCCCGCUUUGGGGUGGUGGGGACAGGGGCAGACCCCCCUCCUUGUCCGAGCACCCUGUGUGCAUCCAGCCCCUUUCACAAGUGCCCUGGGAGCACCCCACACCUUGCUUAAGCACCUCCUGCCCUCCCAGCCCCUCACAAGGGCAUCCUGGGAGCACCAAGCGUCUCACACGCCCCUUGUACUAAAUAAACUGCAGGGCAGUGCUUGAGGUAAUUAACCUAGGGGCACUUAAACCCAGGGGACACGUAACCGUGGGUAUGCUUAUGUGAUAGCUCGAAGUACUUGCAAGCUACAGGUAGUAUCAGCAGAAAAUGUACUGUUAUUGCUGCCCCAACUCUCCUGGGGUGAUUUCAUGAAAGCCACUUCAUCCAUCUCCAGGGAAACUGAAUUGAAAGACUUGGUCACCGUAAGCUCCCUAAACACAGCGAUGAAUGGACAGAUAGUGUGGAGGAAUGGUUAAGUGAAGUAGGUCAUGUGAAUGUUGAACAACUUGGAGGUCGCGAGCUAAAAAAGUAUCGAACGCAGCUCAAAUGAGUCUGGCCGAUGGCGGGAAGCCAAUCAAGGGACAAAGGCAUUGUGUCAGUGUGUGGAUGGGAAAGUACCUAAGACGGGAUAACGGUUGAGGGAAUGAGGAGCUAGCUGAUAAGAUAGGGAAAGUUGCACUAACCAAUAGUGAGCUUAGCUUUUGCAAUAUGUAUGAGCUAAUUAUAUUGAAUCAUAUAAAAGACGGCUGAGCUAUCCAAUAAAUCGAAGUUCACUGAUCACUCA